GUACGGGGGCGGGGGCGUGGACCUCCACAUAUACACUUGUACACGUAUACACAUAGGUGUGCAUGUCAGUAUACAUACAUGGAAAGAGUGCGUGUGGCAGUGCACAUACAUGUCUGCCUGUUUGCGCACACCUGCAUGCACACACACGCAGUAUGCACCUGCAGGCACGCUGUACCCUAUGUGCUACAGGUGCACUGUGUGUAUACACCUACACAUGCAGAUGCGUGUGCAUGCAUGUACACACACACACACGUGCAUGCAUGUACAUGGCUGCAUGGGCUCACACACCGAGUGCGUGAGUAGGGGUGGGAGUCAGUCAGCUCUGUGAGGCAUGUAAACACCUGCAUGCGAUUCACGAGGUUUCCGGCAGGAAGCCGUAGCAUCAGAAGCUGUUCGUAUCUGCUGUGGCAAGAGGUAGGGGUGGGAGUCAGUCUACUAUUUUUCAUAAUGAAAAACAGUGAAAUUAAUUUUUGAAAAGCAGGUGCCACAAAACUCAGGCCAGUUGCAGACGGGCGCCUGGAGCCGAAAGAGGCUGAGAAACCCCCGUACUAGGUACAGGAAGCCACGAUGAUCGCUUUCUCGACAGCAUCUUCAGUAGCACCUGGCGCUACGACUUGUUGUGAAGCAUUUACAGCUGCUCCACUUAUGCAUAUUUUCCAACAGGCAGGAUCUUUUGAAAACGAUACCUAAUGUUAUGUUAUUAAAAUGGCUAUCCAUACAAGGCAGAGUGUAAAAAUGAAAAUGCUGACAGGUAUUUUUUAAUCUUUUGAGAUUUUAACUAACAUUUCAUUGAUAUUUAUGUUUUAUUAAUUAUCUCUGUAAGCAAAUACAAAUUGACGUAUUAUGCA